GGUGUAUUGAGGAUCAAUCCAAAGAAGUUUCAUGAAGCCUUCAUUCCUUCUCCGGAUGGUGAUCGGGACAUUUUUAUUGAUGGAGUUGUUGCUCGUAAUAGAGCCUUAAAUGGGGACCUUGUGGUUGUAAAACUGCUUCCUGAGGACCAGUGGAAGCCAAGGAUAACCUUGUCUCUGCCUGGAGUGCUGGGAUUACAGUCUUGAAAUACAGCCCAUUAAUUUU
rnacentral:lncRNA from 1 species